rnacentral:misc_RNA from 1 species
AAGGAUCAUUAGUGAAUUUGCAGGGCCUGCCAUACGGAUGCGCAAGCGUCUCUGGCGCCCAACCCACUAUACAUCCACAAACCCGUGUGCACUUGUGUUGCUUUGGCCUGUAUGGGCGAGCGCACGCAUUCAAACAAACUCGUAUGGUUGUAUGUACGUUGUAAACGUUGGACCGUCACUGGCCAACAAACUUUAUACAACUUUCGACAACGGAUCUCUUGGUUCUCCCAUCGAUGAAGAACGCAGCGAAACGCGAUAGGUAAUGUGAAUUGCAGAAUUCCGUGAAUCAUCGAAUCUUUGAACGCACCUUGCGCUCCAUGGUAUUCCGUGGAGCAUGCCUGUUUGAGUGCCGCGAAUUCUCCCACCCCAAACGGUUGCCGAAAGGUACUGUGCGGCGGAGGGGUUGGAUGGGUGCUGCUGCCUGUGGUGGGGAAACUACAACAGGCUCGCCCGAAAUGCAUUAGCGCCUCAGGACACAUUCGCUACUGCUCUACAAAAAGGAAGAGCAGCGAAGCGUAUGGGGGGAAAACCACCACCGGUUAUUCCAAACCUCGCCUGACUGUUUGCGCGCAUGGCAUGAUACGUCAUUUGCUGUGUUGCGUAGGUUGGUGCGUGGGACUGUGUGAGUGCCUCUAGAGCUUUGAGAAGUGUGUUUCGUGUGCUACGAACUGAAAAAGUACAUUCCUUUUUUUCAAUUCUGGUCUCAAAUCAGGUAGGAUCACCCGCUGAACUUAA